GGCAGUGACACGGGGUGCCCUUGGCGGGCUGAGAAAGACACCCGUUGAACCUGAUCUAGUUAGCACUAGCGAAGGGAUGUCCUGCCGGUUUCUU
rnacentral:ncRNA from 2 species